ACAGCUUUGGUCCUGGGCUUACCGUUAUUUUUUAUCAAGAUUAUACAUGCAAGCCUCAACAAUCCAGUGAAAAUGCCCAAAACCCCUUAAAAGAUAAAAUGGAGCAGGCAUCAGGCACUAUAAUUUAAGCCCAUAACACCUAGCCAUGCCACACCCCCACGGGCUCACCAGCAGUAAUAAACAUUGGGCCAUAAGUGAAAACUUGACCCAACUAUGAUAAUUUAGGGCUGGUCAAUUUUGUGCCAGCCACCGCGGUUAUACGAAAGGCCCAAAAUAACGACAAACCGGCGUAAAAUGUGACUAGAGAUUAAUAAUAUUCUAAAUAUUAAAAUUCAUCAGCCUAGUUGUAAAACACUAAGGUAACGGAGAAAACCAACACAGAUAUUCUUAAUAUUAUAUUCUUGACCACACGAAAGCUUAGAAACAAACUAGGAUUAGAUACCCUACUAUGCUAAGCCCUGAACAUUGAUAGUUACUCAUACAAGACUUCCCGCCAGAGAACUACAAGUGAAAAACUUGAAACUCAAAGGACUUGACGGUGUCCCAUAUCGA
rnacentral:rRNA from 1 species